UAUUUUAGGACCAUUGGUGUUCUUUAAAAAUCUAGUAGAAUUCAUUUUGAAUACAUCUGACCUUGGACUUUAUUGUUGAUUUUUUGGUUAUUAAUCUUUUAAAUUCAUUGCUUGUUAUUGACCUAUUCAGGCAAUUUAUAUGUAUUUGGAAGUUUGCACAUUUCUCCCUCUCAGUUGAUUGCAAUAUAGGUUUCCUAUUCUUACCCAUAGGUUCUUAGGUCUGUUUUAAUGGUUGUUUUUCUUGGAUCUGUUUAUUUAUUUUAUGUAAGUUAGUAUAGUGUUGUUCUCUUUAGACACACCAGCAGAGGACAUUAGAUCCCAUUACACAUGGUUGUGAGCUACCAGAUAAAUUACUGGUAAUUGAACUGAGGACCUCUGGAAGAAUAGUCAAUGCUCUUAACCACUGAGCCAUCUCUACCCUUGUUCUAAUGGUUCUUAGAGCCUAGCAUAUGUACUAGUGUACAACAUACAUUUGUUUCUCUCAUUUUACUCUGUAUCUUUUAAUGUUGUUAGGUUUGGGAAUGCUGCCUCAGUUUCCUCUCUCCUUUCCAAGGACCAUGUUUUCUUUUUCAUUGUUCAUUAUGGUCUGUUUGGUUAGGUUCAGCUCUCACCUUCAGUGUGUUUUGUCACCUAUUGCUUUGGGGUUUGUUUGUUAUUUUUCCGACAGAGACUCUUUCCUGUGUCUCUCAAAUGAUGAAGGAGAAGAGGCUCAUCUCCGUGGUUGUUGAACCAUGGGAGCAGGGAGUAUCCUGAUAAGGACUGAGAGGUUCUGGAAGGAGCCAGGUUCUAGCUUCCUGGGGAUGUGUGUCUGUACACCAUCAGACAGCAAUGAAACACUGGGUAUGUGUGCUUAUAGGCUUCCUCCAGUGGCUGGAAUUUACCUACUAGCUCUAUGCUCUGUCAGCUUACAGCAGCACCAGCCAUGAUGUCAUGGUCAAACUGGUCAAGCCUGGCACCCUAUGCCAGCUCCUGACUUUGUAUUUGCAACAUGUCCUGGAUCCUUGACCACCAGCAGCAGCAAAUGGUGCAACGACCUUUCUGAACAAGAUGUGAAAGUGUUUCCCGCUGAGCCUUGAGAGGUGAACAUAUAUUGUGCCUGUCAUCUGGACUGAAAAACUUGAGGAAGGGCCAUCCAUAUUCCCGCUCCCUAACCAGGACACUGCUAAGGGGCCAGGGGGAAGCUUAAAGCUUGCCAGACAGAACAAAGGAGAACCGUGUCCUGGGACAGCGUAGAGGACACUUAGGAACACUUGGACACCUCUGUUUUCUGCAAUCGUGGAAACCUCCAUAGGAAGCAGCAUGCAUCGCCACUUUUGAGCAGGGCGGUGGCUUUGUCCAGGGGAUCACUCCUGGCAUCCCCCAGUGUUUCCUGCAUGGCAAGAACUAGGCCAUAAAGGGCAAAAGGGGAUUCUGGGGCCAUGCCCUGAAUCCCUGCAAAUAAAAAAGUUAGACCAAGUGUGAAGGCUAGCAUGGGGAAAAAUGAGGCCUUUUAUAGUAUUUUUUAUGAAAUUGUUCUUCUUGCCACGUCUUGGCUACAUUGUACUUCCAGUUUCACUGAGUGGUAUGGGCCACUUGUGGGUGUGUCGUCUGGGACAGGCUUUCAUGGUCUUUGUUGAAAAGUCUGGUGUAAUUUUGAUAGGUCUGCCUUAAUAUGUUACUUGACCUGUUUCCCUUAUUGCUUUUAAUGUUCUUUCUUUGUUUUCUGCAUUUGGUGUUUUCACUAUUAUGUGUCGGUAGGAAUUUUUUUUCUGUUCUUAACUAUCGAGUUCUGUG
ensembl:lncRNA